UUGCAUCGGUACAACACAAAUAUUUAUGGAGCUUCAAUCUUUUCUUCUCCUCCCUAACCCCAUUGCCCAGGAAGACUUCACUACUCCGUCGAUGAACUCAUCAAGUUCAAAUUAUUUAGCAUACGACCUCUACAACUGUAAAAUGAGACUUAUAGAAGCCUUCUUAUGGUGACAUGAUUUCUUCUAUAAGGACUGGUUUUGCUGCAAAGUGCCAGAUUAUUUGUUAAAUCAUUCUAAAAAUUUACAGUGGAUGAUAUAGUCUUCUUGGGUGGCUUUGUGUUCUUCGGUCAUUCAAUUUUGUUCGAAAUCCAGUUUAAGGAUUUGGACUAAAUGAGGCUGCAAUGAAAUUAUCAUUAUUCUUUAAAAAAAAAAAUAUGUUCUCUAAUGUUGAAAUAUGAUUGAAGCUUGAAUUUGAAGAAGGAUUCUAAAAUGCUACCACCUUCAAGUUCUUAUUUCCCUAUUUUCAAAGGGAUCCAUUGACAUUGAUCUUAUCACUGGACUUUUGUGGUUUUAGCCGGUAACUCACAUCAUAAUCAAUGAAGAAGUCAUAUAACAAAGUGAAUAGAGCCGAGCAAGUAACACACAUCAUAACACCGUGCAUAUGCAAUUUUUUUGUUCAAACAAAAAGCUAUUCGUAAUACUUCUUGAUUGGGGAAUUUGAAUAUAGUUGUUUUCCAUUUUUAGCUAAUCUUCACUAUUUAAUAUUCAUCAUGGCAAUGUGUUACACUUGAUUCAGGUUUUGAUUAGAAAACAUUUUGUACUGGCUCUCUUAAGCCGUGUGCUCUAUAUUAUUUGUUAUUAAUUUAUUGUGUGAAUUAAAGUUUGUCUUUAAUUUGCUAAACCAUUAAGGAAUAUAUGUUUUUAGCCAUGGACGUCUUACUGAUAAUUGUCUCAUGUGACUCGAAUGUAGAGACUUGCCUUUCUAAAUGCAGAUGGUUUGUACAUCUACCUACUUGAAGAUCUUAAUAUCCAUCCUCAGCUAUAUCUUCAAAUAAUUUCCAAGCAUAUGAAAAAUUGGAACGGCGGAAUGUAUUGCCUGAUCUAUGGAUUUUUCUGCUGCUUGGUGCGUUCCCAAGGGCUGUUCAGGUCUAACUAUGAAACCAGAAUUUAAAAGAGAAUCCUUUUAUUUUGGCACAAAUUCUGAUUCUGGAAUUAUGGUUGGGGUGGAGGGUCCUUUGUGUUUCUACUAUGAAGGGUUGAUUGCUCUUAAGAGUGUACAAAGGAAGUGCCUGAAAACAAGAGGCGUAUUUCAAUUAUUAAAGGUAUUGUUAUUUCUAGGCGUAAUGCUGGCCUCAAUUGAACAUUCAGAAUUAGAAGGAUGGUGGCUGGGGUUGACAUCCAUAAUCUAUUUCCACUGUAUUCACCAAACAUAAAGGAGAUAAAGGUGAUUGACUAGAAGAAAGUGAGAAGGGCCAAACUCUACUACACGAGGGAUAGAUUGAACUUUAACAAAUAACCCCGAUCUCCAUCCUAUAUUAUUUAUGAUUCACCUGCUCAAGUCUUUAGGGAAAAUGCAAGUUUAUUAGAAGUAUAUGUAAUCCAGACUUGAAAAUGCAAGUUUAUUAUGUAAUUAUUAAUAAAUUUUUGAGAAUGUGUAAAGGCACACAC